GGGCCUGUAGCUCAGGUGGUUAGAGCGCACGCCUGAUAAGCGUGAGGUCGUUGGUUCAACUCCAACCAGGCCCA
rnacentral:tRNA from 1 species